UGUCAAACCAAACGAGUGC
rnacentral:siRNA from 1 species